rnacentral:ncRNA from 1 species
AGUUUUAUUCUUGCUAAUUUAUUUAGUUUUAUCUUUAUUUUAUAUGUAAGUUUUUGCAUAAUUAGUCUUGUAUUUUCUUAAUGGAUUUUGAGGUUUUCAUUUUAAUUAUUAUUCGCAUUAUUUAUUUUUAUAUAUCUUGUUAUUGAGGAUUUAGUAAUGAUUUUUAGUGCCGGUUAAGUUUGUGCCAGCAGCCGCGGUUAUACAUUAGGCACUAUUAAAUAUUGUUGGUUGUACAGUUUUAUUAUUCAAUUUUUUGGAUUUUAGUAAUUUUGUUUUUAGGUGGAAUUUUUAUUUUUGUUUUUGUUUAUAAUUUAUUUGUAGGCUGUGAAAUCUUUGUUUUAAACUAGGAUUAGAUACCCUAUUAUUUUUUGAUGUUAAUAUUUUUUCCUGAGUAUUAUUAGUUAUGUUCUUGAAACUCAAAGAAUUUGGCGGUAUUUUAUUCCUUUCAGAGGAAUCUGCUCCAUUAUCGAUAACCCGCGUUGGACCUUUCUUAAUAUUAUUUGUGUUUGUAUACCGCCGUUAUAAUGAAGAUCUUUUUAGUGUAUAAAAUUUUCUGGUUUCAUGAUUAUGAUUUAUUUCAGGUCAAGGUGCAGUUUGUUAUUAAGUGUGAAGUGGAUUACAUUUAUUUUUAAUAUUUUUGGAUUAUUGGUUGAUAUGAUUAAUAUGAAAGUGGAUUUGAUUGUAAUUUGUUGAAGAUUGUUUAUAUGGUAUUGGUUCUAUAAUAUGUACACAUCGCCCGUCGCUCUCAUUUUAUUGAGAUAAGUCGUAACAAAGUGGUCGUACCGGAAGGUGUGGCUAGAUUGAU